AUUGAACGCUAGCGGGAUGCUUUACACAUGCAAGUCGAACGAGUGGCGGACGGGUGAGUAAUAUAUCGGAACGUGCCCAGUAGCGGGGGAUAACUACUCGAAAGAGUGGCUAAUACCGCAUACUAUUGGAGCGGCCGAUAUCGGAUUAGCUAGUUGGGGGGGUAAAGGCUAACCAAGGCGACGAUCCGUAGCUGGUCUGAGAGGAUGACCAGCCACACUGGGACUGAGACACGGCCCAGACUCCUACGGGAGGCAGCAGUGGGGAAUAUUGGACAAUGGGGGAAACCCUGAUGCAGCCAUGCCGCGUGUAUGAGAAGGCCUUAGGGUUGUAAAGUACUUUUGGCAGAGAAGCGUUAUCUGCAGAAUAAGCACCGGCUAACUACGUGCCAGCAGCCGCGGUAAUUC
rnacentral:rRNA from 1 species